rnacentral:rRNA from 1 species
UUGAGCGCUGGCGGCAUGCCUAACACAUGCAAGUCGAACGGCAGCAUGGUGCAGUUUACUGUACUGAUGGCGAGUGGCGGAUGGGUGAGUAACGAGUAGGAAUACACCUUUAGGACUGGGACAACUUGUGGAAACGAGAGCUAAUACCGGAUAAUAUCUGAGGAUAAAAGCUGGGGACCUUAGGGCCUGGCGUCUAGAGAGUAGCCUGCGUCUGAUUAGCGAGUUGGUGGGGUAAGGGCCUACCAAAGCGACGAUCGGUAGCCGGUCUGAGAGGAUGGACAGCCACACUGGGACUGAGAGACGGCCCAGACUCCUACGGGAGGCAGCAGUGGAGAAUAUUGGACAAUGGGGGGAACCCUGAUCCAGCGAUGCCGCGUGUGUGAAGAAGGCCUGAGGGUUGUAAAGCACUUUAGGUGGGGAGGAGGAUUUAUUGGUUAAGAGCUGAUGAAUUGGACGUUACCCACGGAAUAAGCACCGGCUAACUCCGUGCCAGCCGCCGCGGUAA